rnacentral:rRNA from 1 species
UCCGAGCGUUAUCCGGAUUUAUUGGGUUUAAAGGGUGCGUAGGCGGCACUUUAAGUCAGGGGUGAAAGACGGCAGCUCAACUGUCGCAGUGCCCUUGAUACUGAAGUGCUUGAAUGCGGUUGAAGACGGCGGAAUGAGACAAGUAGCGGUGAAAUGCAUAGAUAUGUCUCAGAACACCGAUUGCGAAGGCAGCUGUCUAAGCCGUUAUUGACGCUGAUGCACGAAAGCGUGGGGAUCGAACAGGAUUAGAUACCCUGGUAGUCCACGCCCUAAACGAUGAUAACUCGAUGUUUGCGAUAUACCGUAAGCGUCCAAGCGAAAGCGUUAAGUUAUCCACCUGGGGAGUACGCCCGCAAGGGUGAAACUCAAAGGAAUUGACGGGGGCCCGCACAAGCGGAGGAGCAUGUGGUUUAAUUCGAUGAUACGCGAGGAACCUUACCCGGGCUUGAAAGUUACUGAAGCAUCCAGAGACGGAUGCGUCCUUCGGGACAGGAAACUAGGUGCUGCAUGGCUGUCGUCAGCUCGUGCCGUGAGGUGUUGGGUUAAGU